rnacentral:rRNA from 1 species
CCCUUCGGGGUGGAUUAGUGGCGAACGGGUGAGUAACACGUGGGCAAUCUGCCCUUCACUCUGGGACAAGCCCUGGAAACGGGGUCUAAUACCGGAUAUGAUCACCGGCCGCAUGGUCUGGUGAUGGAAAGCUCCGGCGGUGAAGGAUGAGCCCGCGGCCUAUCAGCUUGUUGGUGGGGUGAUGGCCUACCAAGGCGACGACGGGUAGCCGGCCUGAGAGGGCGACCGGCCACACUGGGACUGAGACACGGCCCAGACUCCUACGGGAGGCAGCAGUGGGGAAUAUUGCACAAUGGGCGAAAGCCUGAUGCAGCGACGCCGCGUGAGGGAUGACGGCCUUCGGGUUGUAAACCUCUUUCAGCAGGGAAGAAGCGCAAGUGACGGUACCUGCAGAAGAAGCGCCGGCUAACUACGUGCCAGCAGCCGCGGUAAUACGUAGGGCGCAAGCGUUGUCCGGAAUUAUUGGGCGUAAAGAGCUCGUAGGCGGCUUGUCGCGUCGGAUGUGAAAGCCCGGGGCUUAACCCCGGGUCUGCAUUCGAUACGGGCAGGCUAGAGUUCGGUAGGGGAGAUCGGAAUUCCUGGUGUAGCGGUGAAAUGCGCAGAUAUCAGGAGGAACACCGGUGGCGAAGGCGGAUCUCUGGGCCGAUACUGACGCUGAGGAGCGAAAGCGUGGGGAGCGAACAGGAUUAGAUACCCUGGUAGUCCACGCCGUAAACGUUGGGAA